rnacentral:lncRNA from 1 species
CAACUAUGACCCUAAACUUUGCCAGUGCACAAGUAGGCACUUUAACUAUCACAAAUUUAAACAAUUAAACACUCGUAUAUCCCAGGCAAAGUGCGUGAUAUACAAAUGCUUCUACGUGGCUGCCAACUAAUUAAAAUAAAUACACGUGAAUUUUUCAAUUAAAAAACUGAAAAUAAAAACAAAAUAAAUAUCAAUUAACAACUCUGACCCUAUGCUUAUAACGGAGAACAACGUUUUCCUCUUUCUUCUCUACAAAAUCCUAACCUAAGUUCCCACAUUUCAUCCUUCGAAUCAAAGGUAAAAUUGUUCAAGAAAUUGUGAAGAAAGAGAGGAAAAUGGCAAAAAGCUGUUGAAGAAAUUAGAAAGAAGAGAGUAAAGUGAGAUUUUGAUUUAAAAAAGGAUAUAUAUAUAUAUAUGAAAGAGAUUCAUUAAGGGUAGAAGUGUCAUUUAAGCGUAAAAAAAGGAUAUAUAUAUAUAUGAAAGAGAUUCAUUAAGGGUAGAAGUGUCAUUUAAGCGUAAAAAAAGGAUAUAUAUAUAUAUGAAAGAGAUUCAUUAAGGGUAGAAGUGUCAUUUAAGCGUAAAAAAAGGAUAUAUAUAUAUAUGAAAGAGAUUCAUUAAGGGUAGAAGUGUCAUUUAAGCGUAAAAAAAGGAUAUAUAUAUAUAUGAAAGAGAUUCAUUAAGGGUAGAAGUGUCAUUUAAGCAUUUUUUUUACUGUUGGGGCCUUUAUUUUUACCACUGACGCGCCUAAUUGAAGUGUGUUUCACGCACUUUGCCAUGUAGGAUUAGAGUGUUUAAUUGUUAAAUUUUUGGAUAGUUGAAGUGUCUACUUGUGCACUAGCAAAGUUUAAGGUCAUAGUUGUGAAUUGAUGCCAAGUUAAAGGUCCUCUUUAUGUAUUAUGCCU